rnacentral:rRNA from 1 species
ACGCACGCUGGCGGCAUGCCUAACACCUGCAAGUCGCACGCGACCUUCGGGUCUAGUGGCGCACGGGUGCGUAACGCGUGGGAACCUGCCCUUAGGUUCGGAAUAACUCCCCGAAAGGGGUGCUAAUACCGGAUAAUGUCUUCGGACCAAAGAUUUAUCGCCUUUGGAUGGGCCCGCGUUGGAUUAGCUAGUUGGUAGGGUAAAAGCCUACCAAGGCGACGAUCCAUAGCUGGUCUGAGAGGAUGAUCAGCCACACUGGGACUGAGACACGGCCCAGACUCCUACGGGAGGCAGCAGUGGGGAAUAUUGGACAAUGGGCGAAAGCCUGAUCCAGCAAUGCCGCGUGAGUGAUGAAGGCCUUAGGGUUGUAAAGCUCUUUUACCCGGGAUGAUAAUGACAGUACCGGGAGAAUAAGCGCCGGCUAACUCCGUG